rnacentral:rRNA from 1 species
GAUGAACGCUGGCGGCGUGCCUAAUACAUGCAAGUCGAGCGAACAGACGAGGAGCUUGCUCCUCUGACGUUAGCGGCGGACGGGUGAGUAACACGUGGAUAACCUACCUAUAAGACUGGGAUAACUUCUGGAAACCGGAGCUAAUACCGGAUAAUAUAUUGAACCGCAUGGUUCAAUAGUGAAAGACGGUUUUGCUGUCACUUAUAGAUGGAUCCUCGCCGCAUUAGCUAGUUGGUAAGGUAACGGCUUACCAAGGCAACGAUGCGUAGCCGACCUGAGAGGGUGAUCGGCCACACUGGAACUGAGACACGGUCCAGACUCCUAAGGGAGGCAGCAGUAGGGAAUCUUCCGCAAUGGGCGAAAGCCUGACGGAGCAACGCCGCGUGAGUGAUGAAGGUCUUCGGAUCGUAAAACUCUGUUAUUAGGGAAGAACAAAUGUGUAAGUAACUAUGCACGUCUUGACGGUACCUAAUCAGAAAGCCACGGAUAACUACGUG